CUUCUUGUCCCAGGAGAUUCUCAUCAAUGAAGCUUCAUCAUUCAAGAAAUUACUUCCAAUGUGCUACACGCGCAGAUCAGGUUUCUAGUGUGAAGGGCACAGCAUUUGCUACCCCUCCACACAGGCUGUGGCAGAGUGAGAGUGGUACAAUUUUGCGGGAAUGCUGCUCACAGCCCCAGGAGAAUCUUUAAAAGUGAGCAGAUCAUCUUGUUUUGCACUUGGCCCAGCACUGAGCAAGGGGUUGUCAUAGACUACUUCCAAAGGCCCUUUCCACCUGGAAUAAUUCCAUGGGAUAGGACUCAAACAAAUCAACCACCAAACAAAUCCAAGAACCCAAAACCACAGACUUUGCUUCUUUUCAAAGGAAUGAUGAAUGACACUGAACAGAGUAAACUCAUGUAUCUAUACCUGGCCAUAA